rnacentral:rRNA from 1 species
AUUGAACGCUGGCGGCAGGCUUAACACAUGCAAGUCGAGCGGAGCGAGGGUGCUUGCACCUUAGCUUAGCGGCGGACGGGUGAGUAAAGCUUAGGAAUCUGCCUAUUAGUGGGGGACAACAUUCCGAAAGGGAUGCUAAUAUCGCAUACGCCCUACGGGGGAAAGCAGGGGAUCUUCGGACCUUGCGCUAAUAGAUGAGCCUAGGUCGGAUUAGCUAGUUGGUGGGGUAAAGGCCUACCAAGGCGACGAUCUGUAGCGGGUCUGAGAGGAUGAUCCGCCACACUGGGACUGAGACACGGGCCAGACUCCUACGGGAGGCAGCAGUGGGGAAUAUUGGACAAUGGGGGGAACCCUGAUCCAGCCAUGCCGCGUGUGUGAAGAAGGCCUUUUGGUUGUAAAGCACUUUAAGCGAGGAGGAGGCGCUCUAGGCUAAUACCCUAGAUGCGUGGACGUUACUCGCAGAAUAAGCACCGGCUAACUCUGUGCCAGCCGCCGCGGUAAAAC